rnacentral:misc_RNA from 1 species
GGUUUAGGUACCCAAUAUUUUAUGUUUGGCUGAUUGAGUGGAUAUAGGAAAAUAGAAUCCUUGCAGAUCCCCUCCUUGAGGUAGUAGGGGGUAAUAUGUGGUCUAAAGAACAGAAACAAAGAUCACACAGUGAAUGCAUGGCUACUAUUGCUUGAGUUCCUCCUUAGCUUCUUAUUGCUUGAGACAAAAAUAUACUGUAAAGAAAGGAAAGGAUAAGGAUAAAAGUUAGCAUAGAUAAAUCAUA